AGCGAACGCUGGCGGCAGGCUUAACACAUGCAAGUCGAGCGGGCACUUCGGUGUCAGCGGCAGACGGGUGAGUAACACGUGGGAACGUACCCUUUGGUUCGGAAUAACGCUGGGAAACUAGCGCUAAUACCGGAUACGCCCUUUUGGGGAAAGGCUUGCUGCCGCAGGAUCGGCCCGCGUCUGAUUAGCUAGUUGGUGGGGUAAUGGCCUACCAAGGCGACGAUCAGUAGCUGGUCUGAGAGGAUGAUCAGCCACACUGGGACUGAGACACGGCCCAGACUCCUACGGGAGGCAGCAGUGGGGAAUAGUGGACAAUGGGCGCAAGCCUGAUCCAGCCAUGCCGCGUGAGUGAUGAAGGCCUUAGGGUUGUAAAGCUCUUUUGUCCGGGACGAUAAUGACGGUACCGGAAGAAUAAGCCCCGGCUAACUUCGUG
rnacentral:rRNA from 1 species